CCGGCGCACGGGUGAGUAACACGUAUCCAACCUGCCGUCUACUCUUGGACAGCCUUCUGAAAGGAAGAUUAAUACAAGAUGGCAUCAUGAGUCCGCAUGUUCACAUGAUUAAAGGUAUUCCGGUAGACGAUGGGGAUGCGUUCCAUUAGAUAGUAGGCGGGGUAACGGCCCACCUAGUCUUCGAUGGAUAGGGGUUCUGGGAGGAAGGUCCCCCACAUUGGAACUGAGACACGGUCCAA
rnacentral:rRNA from 1 species